rnacentral:rRNA from 1 species
GGGUUGUGAGGUUAAGCGACUAAGCGUACACGGUGGAUGCCCUGGCAGUCAGAGGCGAUGAAGGACGUGCUAAUCUGCGAUAAGCGCCGGUAAGGUGAUAUGAACCGUUAUAACCGGCGAUUUCCGAAUGGGGAAACCCAGUGUGACUCGUCACACUAUCAUUAACUGAAUCCAUAGGUUAAUGAGGCGAACCGGGGGAACUGAAACAUCUAAGUACCCCGAGGAAAAGAAAUCAACCGAGAUUCCCCCAGUAGCGGCGAGCGAACGGGGAGGAGCCCAGAGCCUGAAUCAGCAUAUGUGUUAGUGGAAGCGUCUGGAAAGGCGCGCGAUACAGGGUGACAGCCCCGUACACAAAAGCGCAUGUGCUGUGAGCUCGAUGAGUAGGGCGGGACACGUGGUAUCCUGUCUGAAUAUGGGGGGACCAUCCUCCAAGGCUAAAUACUCCUGACUGACCGAUAGUGAACCAGUACCGUGAGGGAAAGGCGAAAAGAACCCCGGCGAGGGGAGUGAAAAAGAACCUGAAACCGUGUACGUACAAGCAGUGGGAGC